UGAAAUUAUUUCACGAGUGAUAGUAAAAAAAGUAACCUAAUUUGCUAUUUACAUACUCAUCUGUUUGGAUUUUUUCAGUGUUUGUGUGCAAAUGAGAGAUCUUUUGUAAGAGUCGAAGAAGAAGAGGAAGAAGAAGAAGAACGUUGAAUGGAAUUUCAAACGCUUCUGUAUCGUUUUCGAAAUAACUAGGAAGAAAUGGAAGAAUAAAUCACUUAGGUACAGCUCUUGGUUCGUAGAUUUUCAGUGUUCCGAGUGAAACCGUAGCUUUAAUCUUGAGAAGUGCUUCACUUCACGUUCGCAGAAAUUAAUUGGAGAAUUCGCUGAUAUUGCUUCGAUCAUUUGAACAGUUUUGGAUAUGAAGAGACUCAAGGAACAUCAUUUCAAGCGAGUUAGUACUUCCAAAUAGCGACAUUGAUGAUGAAGAAAGUUUGAAAAAUCGUUCCUAAUUGUUAACAGCAAACAUCCUAUCGCUGAAUUGCUCAUUGGUAACCUAGUGUACUGUAGCACGUUUGUAUGGAAGUUGAUUGGUGUACGUAUUUUCCUGGUAUUUCCAUUCCAUCAACAUAUACCUACUUCGAAUGAAACUACCGAACUGAACAGUGAAAAAUCGUACGAAUAUUCAGCCAUCUCAAUUGGUCCUUUUUUUCAAUCAUGGUCCUUAAAAGUCCUUUUUUCUCAGAAAGUCCUUUUUAGGUCCUUAUUUUUAUGAUUUUUCCUCGUCUUGAAAAAAAUUAUUGUAGGUACCUAUAAAAAAGAGAAAAAAUUGCGUAAAAUUGGGAAAAAAAUGCAGCAAAAUAGUGAUUUUUUUUAUUUCAUCAAUUUUUUUUAAGUUUCAUAAUCUUAUCGGAAUUGAUAGGUAGUGAAAAUUUGAAAAAUAUAUUUUCAACGUUAAAUAUGUACGUCUGAAUCCUUUCUUUUUUACAAACGAGACUGAUGAAUUUUCAAAAACUUUUACCCUCGCUUCGCACGUGCAUCAUUUAUUUACUUUUUAGGUCAUUUUUAAGUACUUGUAAGUGAGAUUUUUGACUUGACUUAAAAUAACGUUGUUUUGCAUCUCGAAUCCCACCCCACGUUUUUCAAAGCUUUUGCCUCGCUUCGCUCCGGUCAAUUUUAUUUUCUGUUCUGGAAUUUAAAUUUCUGAAAAAUUAUUGUUCCAAUUUGAAAAAAAUGUCACAGCUGAAAAAAAUGAAUUUUUUACAUCAAAAGUCAUCUUACAUAUUUUUUUGAAUUAUAAACAUUUUCUUUUCUGAACUUAUUAAAAAAUUACUGAUUGAAUUUAGGAAAUGUCAAUAAGGACUCCCAAAAUCGACUUGUCUAAAAAAAAAUGCUAUUCGAUUUUUCGAUUAUUGAAUUUUUGAAAAUUUUCUCCUUCGCUUUGUUGGGACUAAUCUUUGAGUAUAUAAUAUUUAUCAUGUAAUAUUAUAUACUCAAAGGGACUAAUUUCCUUUUCUUGUUUAAAACUGAAUUCUACAAAAAAUUAGUUACUGUUCGAAUUCUAAACGUGCCAAGGCCAAAGAAUCAACUUCUGAAUCAAAAAUAUAAUGGUAGUGUUGAGUUAUUCAUUUUUUGAAUUGGUAUAAACUUUGGAGAACUUUUGCCCUUUCGGUGUUUGUGAUUGCUUUGUUUUUGUUUUCAAUUUUAUAUAGCAAAUAAAAUAAUUGUGUUGAUAUUGGGUCAAAACACCUAGAAAUCGAUAAUAUUAAGGCUCCGAUCUUUUUUAGUCAUUUUUUUGAUGAAAAAUGUUCCUUAAAUUCUUUUUUUAAAAAUUCAAUUGAGAUGCCUGAAUUGA